rnacentral:rRNA from 1 species
AUUGAACGCUGGCGGCAGGCUUAACACAUGCAAGUCGAGCGAGCGGCGGACGGGUGAGUACUGUCUGGGAAACUGCCUGAUGGAGGGGGAUAACUACUGGAAACGGUAGCUAAUACCGCAUACCAUAAGAUGUGCCAAGAUGGGAUUCGCUAGUAGGUGGGGUAAUGGCUCACCUAGGCGACGAUCCCUAGCUGGUCUGAGAGGAUGACCAGCCACACUGGAACUGAGACACGGUCCAGACGCCUACUGGAGGCAGCAGGGGGGAAUAUUGAGCAAGGGGCGCAGGCCUGAUGCAGCCAUGCCGCGUGUGUGAAGAAGGCCUUCGGGUUGUAAAGCACUUUCAGCGAGGAGGCGUUACUCGCAGAAGAAGCACCGGCUAACUCCGUGCCAGCAGCCGCGGUAAUUC